UACGUAGGGUGCAAGCGUUGUCCGGAAUUAUUGGGCGUAAAGAGCUCGUAGGCGGUGUGUCACGUCGGCCGUGAAAACCUGGGGCUUAACUCUGGGCGUGCGGUCGAUACGGGCAUCACUAGAGUUCGGCAGGGGAGACUGGAAUUCCUGGUGUAGCGGUGAAAUGCGCAGAUAUCAGGGGGAACACCGGUGGCGAAGGCGGGUCUCUGGGCCGAUACUGACGCUGAGGAGCGAAAGCAUGGGUAGCGAACAGG
rnacentral:rRNA from 1 species